rnacentral:rRNA from 1 species
UGCAAGUCGAACGGCAGCGGGGUAGUGCUUGCACUACUGCCGGCGAGUGGCGAACGGGUGAGUAAUAUAUCGGAACGUACCGAGUAAUGGGGGAUAACCAAUCGAAAGAUUGGCUAAUACCGCAUACGUCCUGAGGGAGAAAGCGGGGGAUCGCAAGUCCUCGCGUUAUUCGAGCGGCCGAUAACUGAUUAGCUAGUUGGUGGGGUAAAGGCCUACCAAGGCGACGAUCAGUAGCGGGUCUGAGAGGACGAUCCGCCACACUGGGACUGAGACACGGCCCAGACUCCUACGGGAGGCAGCAGUGGGGAAUUUUGGACAAUGGGGGCAACCCUGAUCCAGCCAUGCCGCGUGUAUGAAGAAGGCCUUCGGGUUGUAAAGUACUUUUGUUAGGGAAGAAAAGGGAAGUGCUAAUACCACUUUUUGCUGACGGUACCUAAAGAAUAAGCACCGGCUAACUACGUGCCAGCAGCCGCGGUAAUACGUAGGGUGCGAGCGUUAAUCGGAAUUACUGGGCGUAAAGCGAGCGCAGACGGUUAUUUAAGCAGGAUGUGAAAUCCCCGGGCUUAACCUGGGAACUGCGUUCUGAACUGGAUGGCUAGAGUGUGUCAGAGGGGGGUAGAAUUCCACGUGUAGCAGUGAAAUGCGUAGAGAUGUGGAGGAAUACCGAUGGCGAAGGCAGCCCCCUGGGAUAACACUGACGUUCAUGCUCGAAAGCGUGGGUAGCAAACAGGAUUAGAUACCCUGGUAGUCCACGCCCUAAACGAUGUCGAUUAGCUGUUGGGCAACUUGAUUGCUUAGUAGCGUAGCUAACGCUGU